UAUGAUCAUAUCAGUAGCACCCAUGUACUGAAUAAGUGAACUCAAAGAAAAGUUAUGUUGGGCAACUACCUCAAAGUUUUGUUAUCUCUGCUUGCAAUUUUUGUUCAGUCAUUGCACAAGUGCUUGAGGGCUUACUGCAUGUGAGGCUCUGUAGACUAAGUAUUAAUGAACUUUCUUUUUUGUCCUUGCAGUAGCAGGUACAGCUUUGAUCUCAGUUUUCUGCCAAAUGAAUGGUUCUGUGUUUUGUGCUCAUUCGUUUACAGAGAUCCCUCUGAACCACCUUGGAACCAGAAGGUGUGUGGUCUGAGAACGAUAAAUGGGCUGCUCUCUGCCUCUCUCACAGCAGUUCUGCCCCUCCUUGGGACCACUCGUUUUCUGCAUUCCUGGCCCAUCUUCUAUAUAUCUCUGGUCCAGAUUCCAGAGGAAACCUGUUUGACUUGAAUAGAUGCCAUUGCCCUUAUUGGGCCUUGCCUCAGGAGUUCCUCUGUGUAUCUCUGGUCCAGAUUCCGGAGGAAACCUGUUUGACUUGAGUAGAUGCCAUUGCCCUUAUUGGGCCUUGCCUCAGGAGUUGCUGGUUAGCCUAUGAAGGGGUUCCCUUUGGGUUGAUGACAUUGCUCCCAUCCAGAAAGUGGCUACUUCUACCCUCCUACUCCCACCACUCUGCAUGCAGGAGCUGUUAUCAUCAAAAGGGAAUGUCCACUGUCUGCUCUGUACCAGAGAAGUGCUAGGCUUCAUAAAUAUUGGUAAUCGAUACCUGAAUGGGAUGAAAAUUGGCAGGUCCUGGGAUGGAUGGCCUGGUUCAUCUGCAUCAGAACUGGAAAAACAAAAUCACACCAAAUUGCAGACUUUUUUGGAAGAGCGUGUUAGACAAGUGAACUCUGCCCCCAGGAGCAGAGUAUCCAGUUCUGUGUCCAAG
rnacentral:lncRNA from 1 species